rnacentral:rRNA from 1 species
AGCGAACGCUGGCGGCAGGCCUAACACAUGCAAGUCGAAUGAACUCUUCGGAGUUAGUGGCGGACGGGUGAGUAACACGUGGGAACGUGCCUUUUGGUUCGGAAUAACUCAGGGAAACUUGUGCUAAUACCGAAUGUGCCCUUCGGGGGAAAGAUUUAUCGCCAUUAGAGCGGCCCGCGUCUGAUUAGCUAGUUGGUGAGGUAACGGCUCACCAAGGCGACGAUCAGUAGCUGGUCUGAGAGGAUGACCAGCCACACUGGGACUGAGACACGGCCCAGACUCCUACGGGAGGCAGCAGUGGGGAAUCUUGCGCAAUGGGCGAGAGCCUGACGCAGCCAUGCCGCGUGAAUGAUGAAGGUCUUAGGAUUGUAAAAUUCUUUCACCGGGGACGAUAAUGACGGUACCCGGAGAAGAAGCCCCGGCUAACUUCGUG